rnacentral:lncRNA from 1 species
AUUUAUUUGAAAAUAAAAAACCUGUAUGUUAAAGAAUCUGACCGCCGUGACUACAAGCUAACAGAUUCCCGAAGCCAUGGACCUACUUCGCCGUUUUGUGGACAAAUUGUAUGUGAAAAUUUUAUAAUGUCAAAUAAACCUUGCUGUAACCUAUACAAAAACAAAUUAUUUCCGAUAUCUGAUAAAUGAACACCGUCUAAAAAU